rnacentral:rRNA from 1 species
UACGAAGGGGGCGAGCGUUGUUCGGAAUUACUGGGCGUAAAGGGCGCGCAGGCGGCUCUGAAAGUCAGAUGUGAAAGCCCCGGGCUUAACCUGGGAAUUGCAUUUGAUACUCUGGAGCUUGAGUGUGGGAGAGGAGAGUGGAAUUCCCAGUGUAGAGGUGAAAUUCGUAGAUAUUGGGAAGAACACCGGUGGCGAAGGCGGCUCUCUGGACCACAACUGACGCUGAGGCGCGAAAGCUAGGGGAGCAAACGGG